GAUGAACGCUGGCGGCGUGCCUAAUACAUGCAAGUCGAGCGAACAGACGAGGAGCUUGCUCCUCUGACGUUAGCGGCGGACGGGUGAGUAACACGUGGAUAACCUACCUAUAAGACUGGGAUAACUUCGGGAAACCGGAGCUAAUACCGGAUAAUAUAUUGAACCGCAUGGUUCAAUAGUGAAAGACGGUUUUGCUGUCACUUAUAGAUGGAUCCGCGCCGCAUUAGCUAGUUGGUAAGGUAACGGCUUACCAAGGCAACGAUGCGUAGCCGACCUGAGAGGGUGAACGGCCACACUGGAACUGAGACACGGUCCAGACUCCUACGGGAGGCAGCAGUAGGGAAUCUUCCGCAAUGGGCGAAAGCCUGACGGAGCAACGCCGCGUGAGUGAUGAAGGUCUUCGGAUCGUAAAACUCUGUUAUUAGGGAAGAACAAAUGUGUAAGUAACUAUGCACGUCUUGACGGUACCUAAUCAGAAAGCCACGGCCAACUACGUG
rnacentral:rRNA from 1 species